rnacentral:lncRNA from 1 species
GAAGUCACUGUUCACUUCGGUCUAUUUCGCUUCUGCUGACUUCGGACCGAGCCUCCUCUUCGCUCCUUGCUGUCUCGCCUCGCUUCGGAUCCAACACCAGAAGGGACCGAGCGUUUGGCCCCCUUACGAGAAGCCUCGCUAAAAGACCAUUUCCUUUCGGUUUUUGACUACGACUUCAUUUUUGCUUUGUUUUUAAUUGUUUUAACACGGGAUUUUCACCCAAAACUUUAUUUUAACAUAUAAGACCCCAUACUUAUUAAUUAAUCACGUUUUUAAGGAUAAAACCUUAUCCAAGAAGAGUGGGUGAAGUACGAGAGGUGGAGUGUUGACUUCCCUUUAUUCUAUGACACAAGCAACCACUCCCAUACCCACUCCAUGUCACUAUUCACCAUCAGCCCAUACCUAGUCAUUUCUUGGUACUUUUCCCACCAUUUUUCAGCCACACACUUGGUUAAGGGUAAGAAAACCCUCCUCUCUCCUCAUACUUCUCUUAUUUUCUCAUUCUUUCACCAAGAAGACCAAACUCUUUUCCUCUCAAACUUCAUCCCUCAAAUUCGAGAUUCAAGGCUGAUUAUCAAGCUUUCUCACACUCUUGGUAAGUAUAAUUCAUCCUCUCUAUGAUUAUUACACUUCCCUCUUUCUCAAAUCAAUGAUUCCUUACACAAACAUCAUCACAUUCUUGUUAGAUCUUCGAAUCUUCAAGUAAUUCUUCAAGUGUUCUUGAGUUGAACACUUCUCUUCUUCAACACUCAUCUACUUCAAUCACUCAAGGUGAGUUCAUACCCUUACAUUUUGUAGUUUUCUCAAGUGUUUAGGAGGGGAAUACAAGUCAAAACUGUAGUGACAAAGAACAUGAUUUGGCAUGCGGUAUUAAAGCUUGCACAAUUAAACAUGGUGAUUUGGGUGCUUAAGAGAUAUAUUGAAUGUAUAUGGUGUUAAAAAAAGAUCUAGAUCUAGACUACAUAAAUAACACACACUUACACACUCACUUUUACAUCUCUCAAGCACACCUCUACAAGUGGUAUGAACCCACUAUUUAUAGAGGUGUUUACAUGUCUCUCUCUCACUCUCUAACAAAUGGGUCUAAAGGCUAAAGCACCACAUGCAAGUGGGUUUUACAAAAGUCAAACAUUUACAAAGUCAUGAAUGAAUAACUUUGCACCCCAACAUUCUCCCCCUCAAAGUUAGGAAUGAAUGACCCACUUCAAAUCUUCCAAAAUCAAGCACUACGCGGUUCGAGCCUCAAAGGCGACACAUGUCGAAACGAACUUCAAUCUUUAAUUCUUCCAUGACUCUUCAAUUUGGGCUCUAGGAUGUGAGACCAUACAAACCGAGCAUCAACGAUUGAUCAAGAGUGUUCCAAACUCCAAAUAAUCCCCCAAAGUUGCGCAUAAAAACACACCCCAAAAAUCUUCAAUAAACCAAACCCAUUUCGAAUACAUCACUUCCGAACUUCCAAUUGCAUCAUCUCGUAAUCUUCAAAACUUCAAGAUCACUUCGGUCUUCAAAUCCGCGUAAUAUGAAAAAUUCAAGUUCUAAUUUCCAUAUAAAACUUCUCCCCCUUUUUAUAAUCGAAAUUUGAUUAUAUAAACUCCAAAGAAAAAGAACGUGCUCUAUUCGGAAUUUUUCAUGUCAAAACUCCCCCUUAACAUGUGGCAUAAACUUUGUGCUUCAAUGGGUAGAAAUUUCUCAAAAUUUCUAGCUUCGUUCACGGACCGCCUUUGACAAAAUUUCUCUAAAUGGGUAGAAAUUGUCAAUUUCAAAAUUCUGCAGUGACCCGUUGCGCCAAAAACAGUCAAAUAUGCGAAAUUUGAAUUAAUUUGCGAAGUGUAAAAUAUUCAAAGGUUCAGGGGCCGUUUUCGAAACUUCUUCCCUUUUGUUCUCCAAACAUGCGAAGAGUAGCCCCUUUUCUUCCUUCUUAAAUUCGUACGAAAUCUCUUGACAAACAAACAAAACUUUAAGGGCUAGUUUUGUAAAUUCGACUUCUUCUUUUUCAAUUCAUAUAUUUCACAGUGACACGCUUCGCAAGUUCCAGUUAAACAAAUUCUUCGCACAUCACUGAUGCGAACCAUGGAUGAAAAUACUUCGCAUCUUAACCCAAUUUAACCAAAUGCGAAAUAUUGAGACCCAAAUGCGAACUCAACAGAACUUCAAAUCUUCACAGAUUGCGAACGAACUUCCUGUUUGUCUUCCAAAUUGCGAACCAUAUCACUAUUUGCGAACAUUCAAUCCAGUUAAUCAAAUGCGAACUGCUGUUGAAGACAAAUGCGAACUUCAUAUCACAUCCUUAUAUGCGAAUCCGAUUUUGAUUCACAGAAAUGUGAAUCUAGUUGCAAAUGACCUUGACCUCCAAUUAAAAAAAACGAUAUCCAAACCUAAAAUUGAUUCUCAUGUAACCCAAUGAAACUGAUUUCAAUCAUUCGACCAUUUACUAUCGAUUGCGAAUCUCAUUUCGUUCAUCACUAUCGAUUCAAGCUUGACAACCAACAAUCGCGAAUCAAACUCGACCAUCGACAGUAUAUCAUCGAGCCUUUGCUGUUGAAUUUCAAAAUCAACAGACCUUCACUUUUUCUUUCACCAAAUUCAUCACUUUGAGGUUUGAGAUCUUCGCAUACAUCUAACUUCUUCCAACCAUAAACAAUUGAUGCGAAUGAUCUCAAACAAUUUUCCCAUUUCACAUCCAUCGUUUCCAAUCGAUUUAUAGAGUUCAUCAACAAGAACACAACUCAUCCAAAUUCGAAAUUAAACUCAAAUUUAAGUUCGAUUACGACAUCCAUAUUCCAUAUUCAACUUGUAACAAACGAUAUUGACAUCCAAUUCAUCAAAUCAACUCCAGAAAAUCGCAGUUGACUUUUUAUGAAGAUUGACUUUUCAAAAUCAACACCAAAUUGAUGAAUCAAACCUUAAAUUUUUGGAUCAAAAACUUGAUAAAACAUCUGUUCUUCACAUCUUCUUCACGAAAUUUCAAAGUUCUUGACCAAUUUUAUUCAAAUCAAAAAUUUAAUCAAAGACGUCUGUGUGAAAACUUAGAAAAAUCGAUUUCAUCAUAUAUUCAGUCAUAUGAUAUCGAUUCACAGUUUCAAAUUAUCAAUCAAUAAGAAUCGAUUGUUAAGAAUGAUGAGAUGAGAACGAAACACAAGAAUUCAUUGAACAAAAUGGGAGUUUAGGAACAAUGUACAACAGUUUCAAGCAUAUGACGUAAUGAAACGACAAACAAUUGGCAACUCAAGUUAAAUGCAUUUAUCAAUUCAUUGAGCAAGAAUAAUGAAAUCAGAUCAAAACUAAUGUAUGGGCUCAAAAUUGAUGAACAGUAACAUAUUGAUUUAUUUUUGGGCAUAUCAAUGUAUCGAAUGAAGAUAUUUAUUGAAUCAGCUAAAUUGGAUUGGGCUCAAUUCAAUAACGUGAACAGUAACAAAAUAUGAGAAUCAGGCUUCAAAUUUGGAUCAUGAACAACAAAUGGGUUUUGAUUUUAGGAUCAAACUUUGAUCUAAACAACAAUAAAUGGAUCAAUCAAUGGGUUGAAAACAAAAUUUGAUCCAUUGAGACAAAACGAUCAAACAAUCAAAAACGCAAUGCACGAAUUCAAUGAAAUUAAGAGAGAUCAUAGAGAGACUCACCAAAAUUGAUCAAAUUGCGACAAAAAUUGCCAAGCCGAGAAUCGUUCUUUAAAAGUCACGUUGAUCGUGAAAACCAAGCUCUGAUACCAAUUGUAGUGGUGUUGAUUAUGAUGGCACGUGCGGAUUAUGAAAGAUCUAGUGAAUCAUCAUGUGAAAAUCAAGAACACAAGGAGUAAAUAAAUCUUUGUAAGCUCUUAUUAGAUCUAGAAAGAAUAUACAAAUGGGUUUGUACAAAGUUUCUCUCCCUAGUCUAACACUCCAAAUGGUUCCACUUUCUUCCUCAUCAGACUCACCCUUAGCAACUAGUGACAUUCCUUUUGUCUUUGCACGCAACUCUUCAAUCUUUUCCAAAUAGUAAGCUUCAUCUUUCACUUUUUUCUUUUUCUCCUCUUUCUUUCUCAUCUUUUUGCAUCUUGAAGACUUGACUCCAUGAACAAACCCACUUUUCACAACAUCAACUUUGUGAAUUUGAAUCAAAUCUUUUGGAGUUUGAUACUUGUGAUUUUCUUGGAUCACCGGCUUCCGAUAAGGAAUCAUUCCUUCAAAUGAAUCACAAGAACACAAAAUAUAAUCAGUUUGAACUCCAAUUGAGCAAAAAACUUUUUCAUCAUGAGAAUCAACUUGAACUCCUUUUUCUUGAACAUCAAGAACAUCACAAUCAACUCCAUUGUCAAGAACUUCAACAACCUUAAGAGCACGAAGAUCAUUUGGGUUUUCAACAAGAGAAACAUAUUUCUUAUCGAACAAAUAUUUUUCUUCUCCAAUCUUAUCACUACUACGUGAUAUUAUGGAACAUGUAAUAUCAGCCAACCAUUUGAUCUCACAAAGUGGUUGAAAUAUCAAGCUUCCAUGAUCAUCCUUCAAUCCUCCAUAAGAAACCAUAGUUCCCCAAUAUAUCUUCUUGUUUAACACAAACCCAUAAUAAUAUUGCCUUGCGAAGCCGGACACCCACAAAUGUCACACACGAAACCUCUCUCAAUCGUUUUCACUCUAUCUCUGUUUAUCGAGAAUCUUUCCCAAAUCUCUCUAAGUAUGUGAAAUCUAUCCCAAAACUCUCUUUGUAUGAGAAAUCUCUCCAAGAAUGUGGAAUAUCUCCCAAAUAUCUCUUUGUUUGAGAAAUCCCUCCAAGAAUGUGAAAUCUCUCCCAAAUCUCUCAAAAUUUCCCGUAACUUUUUGAAGUCAUUCGGGUCAUUCCGACCCUUAACCGGGUCGAAAACCGCUUAAAAAGGGGCAAAAACGGACAAAAAGGGCUUAAGGGCCCGAAACCCCUCUUAAGGACCCGAAACCCCUCUUAGGGCCGAAAGUCCUCUUAGGGACCGAACCCUCCUGAACCGAACCCGAAGGCUGCAGAACCGAACCCGAAGGGUCCUCUCAGGACCGAACCUCGCACAUGCCCGAACCCGAAGUCACUGUUCACUUCGGUCUAUUUCGCUUCUGCUGACUUCGGACCGAGCCUCCUCUUCGCUCCUUGCUGUCUCGCCUCGCUUCGGAACCAACACCAGAAGGGACCGAGCGUUUGGCCCCCUUACGAGAAGCCUCGCUAAAAGACCAUUUCCUUUCGGUUUUUGACUACNCCUUCGCUUCUCGCUUCUGGUUCGCACCUUUCGCUUCCGGCUCAGCACCAGCAAGGACCGAACCUCGGCCUAGGACCGAGAGGUCUCGCUGGGAAAGCUUUUUCUCCCGGUUUUCGACUAAAUUCGCAUUUUAGGCCCGUUUUUAAUUGUUUUAACACGGGAUUUUCACCCAAAACUUUAUUUUAACAUAUAAGGACCCUUAACUAUUAUCUAAUCACAUUUUUAAGGAUAAAACCUUAUCCAUAAGAGAGUGGGUGAAGUACGAGAGGUGGAGUGUUGACUUCCCUUUAUUCUAUGACACAAGCAACCACUCCCAUACCCACUCCAUGUCACUAUUCACCAUCAGCCCAUACCUAGUCAUUUCUUGGUACUUUUCCCACCAUUUUUCAGCCACACACUUGGUUAAGGGUAAGAAAACCCUCCUCUCUCCUCAUACUUCUCUUAUUUUCUCAUUCUUUCACCAAGAAGACCAAACUCUUUUCCUCUCAAACUUCAUCCCUCAAAUUCGAGAUUCAAGGCUGAUUAUCAAGCUUUCUCACACUCUUGGUAAGUAUAAUUCAUCCUCUCUAUGAUUAUUACACUUCCCUCUUUCUCAAAUCAAUGAUUCCUUACACAAACAUCAUCACAUUCUUGUUAGAUCUUCGAAUCUUCAAGUAAUUCUUUAAGUGUUCUUGAGUUGAACACUUCUCUUCUUCAACACUCAUCUACUGAAAUCACUCAAGGUGAGUUCAUACGCUUACAUUUUCAUGUUUUCUCAAGUUUUUAGGAGGGGAAUACAAGUCAAAACUGUAGUGAAAAA